AGAGAAGUAGGCAUUGCAAGUAAUGUAGAAUAAAUUUCGUUUUUCUAGACUUUUAGUUCAUUCGAUCAGAAAUUUAUCUCAAUACUUUCUAUAAAAAUUUUGUAAACGAAAUUAUUAAUUAGUGUAAAAAUGUGUAAAUCUUCUCCAAGGCAAAACGCUUUUAUAGUGGGCUAUAUGGCGACGAUCUUUAGUGGCAUUGGCAUCGGAUGGAAUGCAGUAGAACUGGCCAAUAAACAUGAAACAUUAUUGGUUCUCGAAAUCGCGGCAUGGAUAAUCACAAUCGUCGGUGCUUUUUUUCUUCACGUUGGAGUUAUAAAGGAAAUCAAGUUGCCACUAAUAAUAUGGAUCGUAAUAGCUAUUGUAUGCGGAAUUUUUCUUCUUAUAGUACGGGGUUUACAUCUAUCUAGAAAGUGGCAUAAAUCUGAGACCCUUUAUAUAACUUUCAAAAUAAUAGAAAAUCUCAUACUUAUAAUUCUCACUAUCGUAUAUGUUCUCUGUCCAUAUUUAUACAUAAUUAAUCUCAACGAAAGUGGAAAAUAAAUUUUUUGAAAUUUCAUUGUGAAAGAAAUAAAUACUCAACUUUAUCUAUUCAGUUGUGAUUUACACCCUUUCCAUAAUGCAGCGCAAUGUUCGAUUAACAUUUGAAGUUUUCGAUAGAAACUGUAUGUAGCAGGGUUGAUUUGGAUAAAUUCAAUAAUUGAUAAGGUGAUCAAAUGAGCUAUUAUUAAGACUGUUGGAUGAUUUAUCGUCAUGCCUUCGAACUAUCUGAAUAUAAUGAGUAUACUAAAACUAAGUGUCUUGGGGAACAGGUCUCUAAACUUUUCCACAUAAUGUUUUGGGAUUCGAAAACAAAAUACGAGUGUAAAAAUGUGCAAAACGACUCCAAGGCAGGAUGCUUUUAUAGUGGGCUAUUUGGCAACGAUCUUCAGUGGUAUUGCCAUCGGAUGGAAUGCAGUAGAACUGUCCGAGAAACAUGAAUUAUUAUUAGUUCUCGAAAUUGUGGCAUGGGUAAUCACAAUCGCAGGCGCUCUUUUCCUUCACGUUGGUGUCAUUAAGGAAACCAAGAUUCCAAUUAUAAUAUGGAUCGUAGUUGCUUUCAUAUGCGGAAUUUUUCUUCUUAUAGUACGGGGUAUACAUUUAUCUUAUAAAUGGAAUAAAGCAUCGGCUGUUUAUAUCACUUUCCAAAUAUUAGAAAAUCUGAUACUAAUAAUCCUCACUGUCGUGUAUGUUGCGUGUCCAUAUUUAUAUGUUAUGGAACUCAACGAAAUAGAGCAAUAAUUUGAUGCGAAAUGCCGUUGUAAAAUAAACAUUUCACUCUAUCCGA